rnacentral:rRNA from 1 species
GGUUAAGCGACUAAGCGUACACGGUGGAUGCCCUGGCAGUCAGAGGCGAUGAAGGGCGUGCUAAUCUGCGAUAAGCGCCGGUAAGGUGAUAUGAACCGUUAUAACCGGCGAUACCCGAAUGGGGAAACCCAGUGUGACUCGUCACACUAUCAUUAACUGAAUCCAUAGGUUAAUGAGGCGAACCGGGGGAACUGAAACAUCUAAGUACCCCGAGGAAAAGAAAUCAACCGAGAUUCCCCCAGUAGCGGCGAGCGAACGGGGAGGAGCCCAGAGCCUGAAUCAGCAUGUGUGUUAGUGGAAGCGUCUGGAAAGGCGCGCGAUACAGGGUGACAGCCCCGUACACAAAAGCGCAUGUGCUGUGAGCUCGAUGAGUAGGGCGGGACACGUGGUAUCCUGUCUGAAUAUGGGGGGACCAUCCUCCAAGGCUAAAUACUCCUGACUGACCGAUAGUGAACCAGUACCGUGAGGGAAAGGCGAAAAGAACCCCGGCGAGGGGAGUGAAAAAGAACCUGAAACCGUGUACGUACAAGCAGUGGGAGCCCCACCACCAAAGCAUUUGCUGUACCGCGUUGACGGAGCGAAGCGACGUCAAACCGAUAAAACAGCAGUGUAAAGUGAGCCGCAGGGCGCUUUGCGCGACAGCGCAAAGGCAGGCGGUUUCGCGUAGCGAAAGCGAAUGCUUUGGGGUGGGGUGACUGCGUACCUUUUGUAUAAUGGGUCAGCGACUUAUAUUCUGUAGCAAGGUUAACCGAAUAGGGGAGCCGGAGGGAAACCGAGUCUUAACCGGGCGUUAAGUUGCAGGGUAUAGACCCGAAACCCGGUGAUCUAGCCAUGGGCAGGUUGAAGGUUGGGUAACACUAACUGGAGGACCGAACCGACUAAUGUUGAAAAAUUAGCGGAUGACCUGUGGCUGGGGGUGAAAGGCCAAUCAAACCGGGAGAUAGCUGGUUCUCCCCGAAAGCUAUUUAGGUAGCGCCUCGUGAAUUCAUCUCCGGGGGUAGAGCACUGUUUCGGCUAGGGGGCCAUCCCGGCUUACCAACCCGAUGCAAACUGCGAAUACCGGAGAAUGUUAUCACGGGAGACACACGGCGGGUGCUAACGUCCGUCGUGAAGAGGGAAACAACCCAGACCGCCAGCUAAGGUCCCAAAGUCAUGGUUAAGUGGGAAACGAUGUGGGAAGGCCCAGACAGCCAGGAUGUUGGCUUAGAAGCAGCCAUCAUUUAAAGAAAGCGUAAUAGCUCACUGGUCGAGUCGGCCUGCGCGGAAGAUGUAACGGGGCUAAACCAUGCACCGAAGCUGCGGCAGCGACACUGUGUGUUGUUGGGUAGGGGAGCGUUCUGUAAGCCUGUGAAGGUGUGUCGUGAGGCAUGCUGGAGGUAUCAGAAGUGCGAAUGCUGACAUAAGUAACGAUAAAGCGGGUGAAAAGCCCGCUCGCCGGAAGACCAAGGGUUCCUGUCCAACGUUAAUCGGGGCAGGGUGAGUCGACCCCUAAGGCGAGGCCGAAAGGCGUAGUCGAUGGGAAACGGGUUAAUAUUCCCGUACUUGGUGUUACUGCGAAGGGGGGACGGAGAAGGCUAUGUUGGCCGGGCGACGGUUGUCCCGGUUUAAGCGUGUAGGUGUGUGUUCCAGGUAAAUCCGGUUCACUUUAACACUGAGGCGUGACGACGAGGCACUACGGUGCUGAAGCAACAAAUGCCCUGCUUCCAGGAAAAGCCUCUAAGCAUCAGGUAACAUCAAAUCGUACCCCAAACCGACACAGGUGGUCAGGUAGAGAAUACCAAGGCGCUUGAGAGAACUCGGGUGAAGGAACUAGGCAAAAUGGUGCCGUAACUUCGGGAGAAGGCACGCUGACACGUAGGUGAAGUGAUUUACUCAUGGAGCUGAAGUCAGUCGAAGAUACCAGCUGGCUGCAACUGUUUAUUAAAAACACAGCACUGUGCAAACACGAAAGUGGACGUAUACGGUGUGACGCCUGCCCGGUGCCGGAAGGUUAAUUGAUGGGGUCAGCGCAAGCGAAGCUCCUGAUCGAAGCCCCGGUAAACGGCGGCCGUAACUAUAACGGUCCUAAGGUAGCGAAAUUCCUUGUCGGGUAAGUUCCGACCUGCACGAAUGGCGUAAUGAUGGCCAGGCUGUCUCCACCCGAGACUCAGUGAAAUUGAACUCGCUGUGAAGAUGCAGUGUACCCGCGGCAAGACGGAAAGACCCCGUGAACCUUUACUAUAGCUUGACACUGAACAUUGAGCCUUGAUGUGUAGGAUAGGUGGGAGGCUUUGAAGUGUGGACGCCAGUCUGCAUGGAGCCGACCUUGAAAUACCACCCUUUAAUGUUUGAUGUUCUAACGUGGACCCGUUACCCGGGUUGCGGACAGUGUCUGGUGGGUAGUUUGACUGGGGCGGUCUCCUCCUAAAGAGUAACGGAGGAGCACGAAGGUUGGCUAAUCCUGGUCGGACAUCAGGAGGUUAGUGCAAUGGCAUAAGCCAGCUUGACUGCGAGCGUGACGGCGCGAGCAGGUGCGAAAGCAGGUCAUAGUGAUCCGGUGGUUCUGAAUGGAAGGGCCAUCGCUCAACGGAUAAAAGGUACUCCGGGGAUAACAGGCUGAUACCGCCCAAGAGUUCAUAUCGACGGCGGUGUUUGGCACCUCGAUGUCGGCUCAUCACAUCCUGGGGCUGAAGUAGGUCCCAAGGGUAUGGCUGUUCGCCAUUUAAAGUGGUACGCGAGCUGGGUUUAGAACGUCGUGAGACAGUUCGGUCCCUAUCUGCCGUGGGCGCUGGAGAACUGAGGGGGGCUGCUCCUAGUACGAGAGGACCGGAGUGGACGCAUCACUGGUGUUCGGGUUGUCAUGCCAAUGGCACUGCCCGGUAGCUAAAUGCGGAAGAGAUAAGUGCUGAAAGCAUCUAAGCACGAAACUUGCCCCGAGAUGAGUUCUCCCUGAGACUUAGAGUCUCCUGAAGGAACGUUGAAGACGACGACGUUGAUAGGCCGGGUGUGUAAGCGCAGCGAUGCGUUGAGCUAACCGGUACUAAUGAACCGUGAGGCUUAACCUU